GACGAACGCUGGCGGCGUGCUUAACACAUGCAAGUCGAACGGAAAGGCCCUGCUUUUGUGGGGUGCUCGAGUGGCGAACGGGUGAGUAACACGUGAGUAACCUGCCCUUGACUUUGGGAUAACUUCAGGAAGCUGGGGCUAAUACCGGAUAGGAGCUCCUGCUGCAUGGUGGGGGUUGGAAAGUUUCGGCGGUUGGGGAUGGACUCGCGGCUUAUCAGCUUGUUGGUGGGGUAGUGGCUUACCAAGGCUUUGACGGGUAGCCGACCUGAGAGGGUGACCGGCCACAUUGGGACUGAGAUACGGCCCAGACUCCUACGGGAGGCAGCAGUGGGGAAUAUUGCACAAUGGGCGGAAGCCUGAUGCAGCAACGCCGCGUGCGGGAUGACGGCCUUCGGGUUGUAAACCGCUUUCGCCUGUGACGAAGCGUGAGUGACGGUAAUGGGUAAAGAAGCACCGGCUAACUACGUG
rnacentral:rRNA from 1 species